rnacentral:rRNA from 1 species
UACGGGGGGGGCAAGCGUUGUUCGGAAUUACUGGGCGUAAAGGGCGCGUAGGCGGCCUGCUAAGUCGGACGUGAAAUCCCCCGGCUCAACCGGGGAACUGCGUCCGAUACUGGUGGGCUCGAAUCCGGGAGAGGGAUGUGGAAUUCCAGGUGUAGCGGUGAAAUGCGUAGAUAUCAGGAAGAACACCCGUGGCGAAGGCGGCUCUCUGGGACGGUACUGACGCUGAGACGCGAAAGCGUGGGGAGCGAACAGG